UCUCCGGAAUCGAACCCUGUUUCCCCCGUUACCCAUGGUAACCAUGGUAGAAAGUGGCAUCGAUAAUGUCGACAGCUACUCUGCCGAACAUUCAGCAGAGUAGCUGUCGACAUUAUCGAUGCCACUUUCUACCAUGGUUACCAUGGGUAAUGGGGGAAACAGGGUUCGAUUCCGGAGAGGGAGCCUGAGAAAUGACUACCACAUCCAAGGAAGGCAGCUAGCAUGCAAAUUACCCACUCCCGAUACGGGGAGGUAGGGAUGA